GCAUAGGACAGCUCAUUUGGUGGAGCGUGAGACUCUUAAUCUCAUGAACAUGGGUUUGAGCCCCAUGUUGGGCA